ACGAGUUUGAUCCUGGCUCAGAACGAACGCUGGCGGCAGGCUUAACACAUGCAAGUCGAACGCUCGUAGCAAUACGGGAGUGGCGGACGGGUGAGUAACGCGUGGGAACGUGCCCUGAGGUACGGAAUAACUGAGGGAAACUUCAGCUAAUACCGUAUGAGCCCCGAGAGGGGAAGAUUUAUCGCCUUGGGAGCGGCCCGCGUCGGAUUAGCUAGUUAGUGGGGUAACGGCCUACCAAGGCUUCGAUCCGUAGCUGGUCUGAGAGGACGAUCAGCCACACUGGGACUGAGACACGGCCCAGACUCCUACGGGAGGCAGCAGUGGGGAAUCUUGCGCAAUGGGGGCAACCCUGACGCAGCCAUGCCGCGUGAACGAUGAAGGCCUUAGGGUUGUAAAGUUCUUUUACCCGUGACGAUGAUGACGGUAACGGGGGAAUAAGCUCCGGCUAACUUCGUG
rnacentral:rRNA from 1 species